GUCACUGUAGUUUAUACCUUUUUUAAAACCCGGCCCUGAAGUUGCCGAAAUGGAAGCUGCCUUCCCGAAGACA
rnacentral:tRNA from 1 species